rnacentral:sRNA from 1 species
GCUGGGCAUGGUGGCACAUGCCUAUAAUCCCAGGCACCUGGGAAGCUGAGGCAGGAGGAUCACAAGUUCAAGGCCAGCCUCGGCAACUUAGGGAGGCCCUGUCUCAA